AGACGCUUGGAUGACCCCUAGGGUCGCGCUUGGCUUCGCACGCGCUGGGCGGGGGCAGGAGCUCGGGGAGAAAGGUUCGCUCGAGAGCGAGGAGGUCGCUUCUUUAUCCGCUUCUCUUUCCCCUUUUUGAUCGCUUAUUGGGGUCGCUCCUCAGCUUUCACGGUCUCUCUCCUGCUGCUGCCGUUUAUUUUGCCCAGAGGAUUUGGUGUGCUAAAAGCUGUUACAGACAUUCAAUACGAGCAAUGGAGGUAUAUGGAAAAUCUAUGAUUGCUGAGCCGAGCAAUGUCAUUUAUAUGUCCAGUAUUCUCAACCGGGAUGAGCCGAUCCCUAGUCACAAAUGUGACGUUAGAUGCCAAAAUGAACAUGUGUUUGGGAAUGUUUAUCGCUGCCAACUAACAGGACUUACGCACAUAUGUGAUAAGAAUUGUAACCAGAGAAUACUGUACGAUAAUCAUAGCUCCCUUUGCAGGGUGAGUGGGCAGUUGUUCCCUCUUUCACCAGAGGAAGAGCAGGCUGUGAGAGGAGUUCGGAGGAAGUUUGAAAUGGAGAACUCUGAUGGCUGUGCUUUUAAGCGCAGACGUGAUGCUCAGCUGCAUCCUUCUCCUUUUGAGAUGUCUUUUUCAACGGUUGUUCCAAUCUGCAGUCAAGUUGGAGAUGGCAUGGACAUGAGUUAGAGAUCAUUAAUUACAUUUGCUUUUGCUUUUCUUCUCCCCCCUUUUUCUUUCCUUGGAACUUAUUCGUACUGUGGUGGGACUUGAAAAGGAACUAAAUAUGUUUCAGACUUGUAGGGAUUUUCUUUAUAGCUCUUACCGAGCAGUCUUAUAGGAACAGUAUUUAUGUAAUAUUUAACUGAUUAAACUCUUCAAAUUUCUAGAACCAACCGUUGUGGGAUAUUUCCUAAGAGGAUUUCUUAGGAAAGUGGAUGAGAAUUAUAUAUUUGAACAUAGUCUGAGCUAUAACAAAGCUGAAGGAUUUCUGAGUCUUAACAAUUCUUUAUUGAUGUAGUGUAAAAUCUGUAGUUGUUUAAAGUUUCUGUUUCUUGCUAUUUCUUGAUUGCAUUACAUGGUCUUCUUUUAUUUUGUCUGUGUCGCCAGGUAUGUUAGACUGCUUAUCUGUUCCAUUCUUGUCAAAUAAUUAUUACUGAUUGUGAUACUGUUCGAAUGAUGUAUUCACUUCUUCAUUAUCAGUGAUUAUUAGUGAUGAUUGUAAUUAUUAGUGACUGUUUAAAGUUUGUAUUCACUUCAUCAUUUUUUGCAUAAAAUUCAAAUGGAGUUUUGAUUGUACUCAAGAGAUGAGUAUGAGAAUAUAAAGCAAGUUGUACUUAUAGAUCAACUGUGUUAUUAUUGUAUCUUUUUUUUCCAAAUGGCAGGUCAUCGUGGGCAUAUUGAAGGGUAUUUGAUGGUUUGUAUUAGUAGAUAUUUAUCAUGUCAUAUUUUCUUUUUACUUAGGAGUUUGUGGUGGAAGUUCUUCAUUUCCUUUAUCCUUAUUGGCUCUUUAUAUUUGAUGUCUAGUCUUAAACCUUCAAGUCAUUUUGCAGGAGAUUUCCGUCAUCGCGAACCCAUCCGCACUCACAAAUACUGCUUUGAUUCAUUUUGUUUCACAGAAUACAAGUGUCUAAUGUUUUGCUUUGCUUUCUGUAGGUAAUCUCUUCCAUAUGUCAGAAACCUUCACUGUUGCAUGAAUUACUUUUGCAGCCUAAGUGUAGUACUCACGUCCAAAAUUUAUAGUGGAGUACACGAAGCAAAUGUAGCAGCUGUUUAGCAUUUCUCCUCAGCCGCUGACCAUUUCAACUGCAUUACUGGGUUGGUGGAGCAGUUCUUUCGAAGGUUAUGCAAUUUUGGAGGGGUCCACGAAGUCUUUCGACCUGCAAAUUCAAAGUGGCUGGUAUGCAUGAGUAGGUGCUGUGGCUGCGCUACAGAUAGUUCUCUGUAUGCUGUUGGCAAAAGGUGCAGUAACCUGUUUUCUGGAGAUUGUUGACUUUUCACUUUGUUUCCACAUGGAAGCAUGAACUCGAUGACUUGCUCCAGAGGUGGAUGUGCCUUGCACAACAGUAAGGUUGCUUUAUCGUGACCUGGGUGUCACAGUUUUGAAAUACAAGCAGCCUCUUUGCAUGCAGGACCAAAGCUGCAUAAAUCUAAUCCAUUGGAGACCCUCCAGUGGUGAAAGUCACAUGUAUUAAGUCAUUCUUCUUCCCUUUUUUUUUUCUUUUUUUUUUCUUUUUUUUUGUUUUGUUUUGAGUAUACUUCUCCUAGGAGCUGCCAUGCUGUUUUAGAACUGUUCUCACCAUUGUUUCUUGGUAUGUGAUUGAGUGAGCAUGUGUACUCUGAUUUUGUUGAUACCAUAGCGUUUUAUUUACAUCUUUUGAAAGUUUCCUUUAUAAUCUUGCAUUCUGAAUUUCUUUGUUUUUUGCUGACUGUCAAUGACAAUUGUUUCUUGAACCCCUAAGAUUACCAUAUAUAAUCUUUCCGGGAGUUGAUCUUUU